CCAGGAAUCCAGGAAUGUGCAGCAUGGAUGCCCAAGUCUGAGUGGAGGUUGCAUCAGUUUCAAAGACAUUGUGCUCUUCCCUGCCGUGGUGGAGUGGUGAGCCGGUUGACAUCCCGGAAAAGGUUGUUAGGGAGUGGAGGUGGGUGGAAGAACCAGAGUCAGACAGUCUGUUCUUCUCUGAUGGUGUCACAUCUGGAUAGAGUGGCUGGAGCUGCUGCAUCCAGCUUGCUACAAGCACAGGGGAUGGCAGAGCUCAGAGAUGGGAUGACCCUGUGUUCUUGAUGGAAUCAACCAGUCAUGCGGAUCCUGCUAUUUCUGGACUGGCUGUUAGACAUCUGACUCAUGAAAAGAAAAAUAGAAGUGAAAAUUGCCAUUUUUCUCAAGAAAUAGCACUUUCUUCCCACAAUAUAAAGAAGACCAUUUGACUUUUAUUACUAAGUUUUCCAAACCACUGAGCAUGCACCUCCACAUGCCUGCAGAGUGCACUGGUUGCCAUUGGGUUGAGUGAAUUCCAGUUACACAUUACUAUCACAGACAAGUAAAGGGUCAAUGAAAUACAUAUUCACGACCCCACAAAUAAUCUUUUCAGUAGUCUGUUUCCUAGUUACAUGAUUUCCCUUUUCUUAAAUCCUUGAAUUAUUUGAUAAAAGUCUCCACAGUGGUGUUUUUACUGUGGCUGAACUUUGGUGGGUAAAGAGAUAAAAGAAAAACUUCAAUCUAUGGCCUUGGGACACACAUGAGAAAUUUGCUACCCAGGUGAGGCACACUUGUGGAAGCCAAAAAUCUUCAUGCUUAUAUCAAAUCCAUGAAUAUUCUGGCUUCUGAACAUGGCCCAAGUACGGGAGGGUUAUGUGCAGUAGUAAACAGAUGACUAAACUACAUCUGAUGCCUAAGUAGUGACUUCUUGGUGAACACACAACUUUUUCACCAUGCUAUCAUGCAAUCAUUUUUAAAACUCGGGAUGUCAUCUUCCUCCCUUGUAAGUUCAAGCCCCCAGAUAUGGCUUAUCAGGCCACUUAUAAUGUGUGUGCUUUCAAGUUCACGAUAUACAUUGCAUUACAUUUAUAAUAUCAGGUGACGUGACACAGCAAAUGAUACCUUCAACUAUCUCCAGCCCCAAUCUUGGGAAAUGUUUCUGGUAGUCCCAGUAGCAGGGACAGCAAGCUAAAAUAAGGGGUUUAACGUUUAAGAUCUCUAAGAGCUGAUACCACUGGGGCAAACUCCCUCAACAAUGAGGUUUUCUCCAACCUCAAAAGAAAGGCCAGUGAACAGUCAUCUGGUACAGGUGGCAUUGCUGGUGGGAGGAGUGGGUUUUCCACGGCUGUACUACACAUUUUGGGAGCCAUCAAUAGCUGGCGCAGUGGAUGCAACACCCUCUUGAUUGUCAGCAGAAGCAAAUCACUAGAAGCCCUGGAACCCUAGUAAAACACCCAAAAGAAAACAUGGAAUUAAAUAUCACGUUGUCAUCCCUGCUGCUUAGGUACAGAAGAGGUACAGCUCUAUUCUGGAAGGAUUUGGAGUCAUUUGAGAGAGCAGCUUUACAUCAGAAGUUUUGACUAGUAUUCUCAUUUUAGGGACAGAUAGUGAUUCUCAUUUGAGGACAGCUGAAAAAAAAAAACAGCUGAAUUAUCACCAACUAGUUUAGGUUAUGUCUUGGGUUGAAUUGUGUUGUCCAAAAAGAUUCAUUGACGCACUAACCCCCAGAACCUCAGAAUGUGACCCUUAUUUGGAAUGAGGGUCUUUACAGAGUUAAUCAGAUUAAAAUAAGAUACGAUUGGCACUAACCCAAUAUGAGUUUUUAGAAAAAGGGGAAAUUUCAACCCAGAGACAUGCAUUGUGGGAGAACUAUAAGAAAAGAUACAGGCAGAACGCCAUGAGAAGACAAAUGCACAGACUAGGGGAUGCAACUACAAGCCAAGGAAUGGCAAAGAUUUCCAGCAAACCACCAGAUGCUAGGAGAAGCAUGGAACAGAUUCUCCCUCACAGUCCUCAGAAGGAACCAACCCUGGCGACACCUUCAUCUGAGACUUCUAGCUUCCAGAACUUUGAGACAAUAAAUUUCUGUUGUUGAAGCCACCAGUUUGUGGUACUUUGUGAUGGCAGCCCUAGGAAACUAAUGUUAAGUGUCAAAUGAAUCAUAGAAAAAUAAUUCAGUGCUGAACAAGACCAGUUACUGGAGAGAUUUCUGGCAUUGUACAAUUGAUGGGUGACAUUAGGAAGAUAGACCCAUUUUUAGGGUCAUAAUCACAGUUUUAUGCACAGUUUAUAAUUGCAUCGUGUUAAGAUAGGAUACCAAAGGCCAGCCUGUGAGCACAAGGCAUCUUUAGUUCCAUGAGUAUAAUAAGCAAAUGUUUCCUCUGCUGAAACUACAGCCCUGCCCUUGUGUGGUGCCUGCACCUUGAUUUUUUUUUUUUCAGUCAUCUCUAUAGCUUUUCUCUCCUUGGAAAGGUUCCAUCUGCUUUACAACGAUAGUGUUUACUUAGCUGGCUUCCUAGGUUGGAGUAACAGGAGGGAAGAAGAGAAAUUAUUGUAAUUUUUUAGUCUUAAGCUAAAUCUUGAUAUUACUGUCAUAACCCUGGCAAGCAGUUUUCCUGUGAUAGUGUUAUAAGAAAUCUCAACCAUUAAGUAGCAACCACAAUUGUAUUCUCAUUCCCACUAUCUUUUUUUUUCCUUCUUGUUUUGGGUGUUUCUCUGCUGGAGGCAAACUGAGCUCCUGAAUCAUUAGGAUGGACGCGCCAUCAACAGAAUCUGCUUUUAGUGGAAUGGGUCUUCGGAUAAUCUGUUUUCAUCACAUCAAGAGCUAAGCCAGUCAGUUAACACAGAGGAAAUAUUAAAGGCAGUAUUUUUUCAUUAAGAUCCAUCAUCCUUGAUUCUCAAUUAAAAGCCAAAUUCAAUGUUUUGCAUAUGUUUUGCUGCAGUUCUCAUUUCAUCUCAGAUGAUGAUGAAGUGGAUGUUGUUCUCAUUAUUCCUGCCUCAGGAUGUGGUGGACCACCAUCUGCAGCUGCCGUGUAAGUGAUCAUCUUGGCGCUGACCCACAUGCCACCUUUGUAGUCAUGAGUAUUCUAUCCGAGAGAUGCCAUCUGGUUUUCAUGGAAGCUGGUGGAAAAGUGGGGGUCUGUGUUUCACUGCAGAGAUGCGUGUUCAGAGAAAAAAACUGAACAUUUUCUGCUCCCAUUAGGGACAGAGCAUCAGCUGUUGUGUUCUUUGCAUCAAAUUUUCUCAUAGCUUAUACUUUCCCG
rnacentral:lncRNA from 10 species